UCUUUUUUUUUUUGGUUUUCACUGUGUGUCCUUGGCCAAUCUCAGCACCAAAUUGGGUGGUUGACCCUCUGAGUCACCACCAAAGGCCAGGGCUGAAGGCACCUGCCAUUCCUAACAGGUGAGCACCAGGCUGGAGCCCAGCCAAGCCAGGCCUGCUUUUCUUGCACACAAAAGAAAAGUGCCUAGUCACUGCAGCUUGUAAUCUGAGUAGCGGAGCCUGGGCACCUCCCCUGCAUUGGGAGCAAGGAGUCAACCCCCAUCAGCUCCUGUCUGGGGGCACCGUGACAGGCUGGGCUCCGAUAGUGCUACUGACAGUCGGGGCACUUCUAAGGCAGCUGGCCUGGCCUGCAGCAUGGAAUGGGGAGAGAUGUCACCUUGUGCCUUGUUCUGAGUGCUCGUUUCCCUGAGCAAGCUGGGCAGCAGGGGUGGCUUUUGUUCCAGUGGAUAUUACAGAUGACCGUUUUGUUUUUGUUGUGGUGAGAUUAAGUGGAUUUCCUCCUGGGCAGUUACUGAAUAGCUGAAGUGGUCGUUUUUUAGGCGAGGGUUCUGGAGAAAGGCAUGGAGAGGGAUCACUUCCCUGUUCAGAGCUACAUAGCUCCUCCUAGGAAACAUUAAGCUGUAGGAGUGCUUGGCUGGGAAGAGCAGUCAGCAGUUAUAGGAAGUCCCAUGCCCGAGUUGGCUGCUCCUCACCCAAGGGAGGUGCCCAAGUUCCACUACUCAGAUUACAACAUAAUGGUUUUUUUCUCCCCACCCCACCCUCAGAAUUAGCAACGACAUCUAGUCAGCCUUCCUUCUGGUGACUUUGAAACAAAGUGAAAGUGAAGUCGCUCAGUACGACUCUUUGCGACCCCGUGGACUGUAGCCUACCAAGCUCCUCUGACCAUGGGAUUCUCCAGGCAAGAAUACUGGAGUGGGUUGCCAUUUCCUUCUUUGAUGAGGCCUCAAAUGACAUUUUGAUUCACUCAUGAAUUUAUUCGUUGCAUUUGCCAAGGCCUGUGUGCAGAUAUUGUGCUAGAUGUUUGAAGACAAUCCUGUAUCAGUUCUCAGCUCACAGGUCAUAGGUCAGUGGGGGCCA
ensembl:lncRNA